GGAUUAGAUACCCUGGUAGUCCACGCCGUAAACUAUGAUUACUCGAUAUUGGCGAUAUACUGUCAGUGUCUAAGCGAAAGUGAUAAGUAAUCCACCUGGGGAGUACGGUCGCAAGGUUGAAACUCAAAGGAAUUGACGGGGGCCCGCACAAGCGGUGGAGCAUGUGGUUUAAUUCGAUGAUACGCGAGGAACCUUACCAGGGCUUAAAUGCAGGAUGAAUAUAUUGGAAACACUAUAGCCUUCGGGCAUUCUGCAAGGUGCUGCAUGGCCGUCGUCAGCUCGUGCCG
rnacentral:rRNA from 1 species